rnacentral:rRNA from 1 species
UGGGGAAUAUUGGACAAUGGGCGAAAGCCUGAUCCAGCCAUGCCGCGUGUGUGAAGAAGGUCUUCGGAUUGUAAAGCUCUUUAAGGUGGGAGGAAGGGCAGUAAGCGAAUACCUUGCUGUUUUGACGUUACCGACAGAAUAAGCACCGGCUAACUCUGUGCCAGCAGCCGCGGUAAUACAGAGGGUGCAAGCGUUAAUCGGAAUUACUGGGCGUAAAGCGCGCGUAGGUGGUUCGUUAAGUUGAAUGUGAAAGCCCCGGGCUCAACCUGGGAGCUGCAUCCAUAGCUGGCGCGCUUCGGUAGUGCAGAGGGUGGUGGAAUUUCCUGUGUUGCGGUGAAAUGCGUAGUUAUAGGAAGGAACACCAGUGGCGACGGCGACCACCUGGGCUCAUACUGACACUGAGGUGCUAAGGCGUGGGGAGCAAACAGG